rnacentral:lncRNA from 10 species
CACUCAGUGAAUUCCUGGUUAUCUGCAUUGUGGCAAAAUGCUCAUCUGCCCAGUAACUCUUCUCUAAGGCAAUGGAUGCCACCAACUGAAGGGCAAAGAAUACAAGGACAAGCACAAGGGAAAUAAACCUGUUUGUAUCUGAAAAUACAUUAUGUUAUACAAGCACCAGAGUCCAUUGGAGGGAACAGUGUACAAAUGGUGGCUAAUCUGGCUAUGUGACAUAGCUUCCAUUUUGAAAGGGUUCUGUUGAUAUCAUAUGCAUGUCCAACUUUGUUGUGAAAAUGUUAGGGGUCAGGGAGCUUGCUCAUAGCAAAAUCGUGAGGUGAAUAAAUCUUGUCUUUAGCAUUCCUCAAUUCUUCUGGAAUUUCUCCUCACCUAUAACUUUCCAUUAUUACUCUUCCUCUUCUCCCAUCCUUGCUUCUCCUCUAAUCAAGACCCACUGCAUUUAUGCUUCCACCAACCAUCCCACUCCCUUGUAUUCUGGCAGACACUGAAAAGUUAUAUGAUAAAUUUAGCCUGACAAAGAUAUUAGUAAUUUAAUGUGAAUCACUAUGCAUGGCAUAGGAUUUCAAAGCAUAGAUGCUGGAGCCAGGGUACCUGCAUCCAAAUCCCAGCUGUCACUGACUAGCUGUGUGACCUUGGGCAUGGUACUUAGCCACUCAGAGUCUCAGUGUCUUCAUCUAUAAAAUACACAUAAUUUUACCUACCUCACAGGUUAU